rnacentral:lncRNA from 1 species
CCGUGGCCCAUCGAUCCCCCGCGCGUCCGCCGCUGUUCUAAGGAGAGAAGUGGGGCCCCCCCAGGCUCGCGCGUGGAGCGAAGCAGCAUGGGCAGUCGGUGCGCGCUGGCCCUGGCGGUGCUCUCGGCCUUGCUGUGUCAGGUAGGGAAGAAUAAAUGGAAUUAUACAAUCCUGGACCACUGGUAAUACCAAGGACCUGUGUGUACCUGCUCCCCACCCCACACACCUUCCUUGGUGUUGUCGUAGAAAUAGAAGCAGAACUAUGAAGUUUCUUCCUUCAGUACAAGCCACAGCGGUUCUGGAUACAAUUUCUAACCCGCCCUUCCUUGCACUGCACUGCCUUUCCUUCCUGCCUGAUCCCUGGGCCCAAAACCCUCGUGACUUAAUUUUAAGUCAUAUAUACACCGGUUCAGAAAGACAUCUGGCUGAAAGAAGAGAGUUAUGCCCUGAUUCAUUUUCACCUUAAUUCAAUUUAAAUCAAAGCAAUCGUGAGCCACUGUUCUCCAUGGCGACGGCUCAUCAUAGCUGUGGAACUCCACACACCUCACCUGGGGCAGCUGGUGCUCAGAAGGCAGAUGGGAGGUCAGGUGCCCCUCAGAAGCCACAGCUGGCCACCCCUCGGAAUGCUUGCUCCUAAUUCUGCAUCCUCUGCUUAUUUAAGACAACAAUGUUACAAACCCAUGCUGAGACAUCCACCUUUUCCCCCGAGGAUCUUAGGGUGUGGGGCCACUCCGGGGCUUACUGCUGCGGUGGCAAACCCUGGAAGACAGUGGGAUCUCACUGAGACAGACCCUCUGUGGCCCCCGCCUUGGCUCCGGAAGAUGCCUUUGUACUUGUGCUUGCCUCCCACUUGCACGAGGUUCUGAGCCCUUCUCUCCAUCAAACCAAAGUGGUAGCAUGCAGCUGGGCUGUUGGCAGCAGUGCUCAGUGAUGGGAGAGCUUAGGGAACAUUCGCUGAAAGAGAGAGAUGAAUGAAGAUUCUUGAACGUGGAAGGCUGUGAUUUUGUCAGACAAGAACACCAUGUGGGAAAUUAGGGCCCAGAAGACUUGUUCCCAGUUGGACCAUGCUUAUUCAACAGUCACCCAGGACCUGGUCGCCUCUUCUUGUGGGUUGAGAAGAUCUUGCCUCUCAAAAGGAGGUAAAACUGAAGUGCCCUCCUCACUGGAAUACCAGGUGAGAAAGGCCAGUGAGACAGAUGCCAGGGCCCUGGCAAGGCGGGUGCAAGGCCCCCCCAGUUCAGGAGGAGCCAAAGGAAGUGCGUUGGGCUGGGGCCUGGUGUCCGUCGCCCAUCGAGGGCUUGCACAGCGCUGCGGCUCGGCGACGGGAACCUCGGUGCUGUUCACUCCUUGCAGUGGGGGAACGGAGCCCUCAUUCCACAGGCCCUCGGCCUUCCCCACUGGUGAACUCGAGCUGAGCUGUGGGGGCAGAGGGGGCAGCAGCCCCUCCGUGGAAGCUCAGCAUCUGCAGGGACACCUGCAGCAAGGGAGGCAGAGCUGGGCAAUAUCCAUGCAACGUGAAGACAUUUAGCAAUCAGUCGGAAACUAAACUCAAUACGAUGACUCAGAAGACUGGUGAUUCGCCCUGAUUAGAUGGACCAGUCCUUACAAAUUGCCUUUUCAUGUUGCGCUGUAAAUAACCAACGUAUGUAAUAACAUUAUCAUACCCCAGAUAGAAGAUUCCAGAGGGAGAGACUCAAAGCUGCAGGUUGACAGUUGCCCAGAGCCCGAGGGGAGGCGACCAGUUUUGCUCCCAGCUGUCACUCGGCUGGUC